AGUGCAGCUCUAAGCGGGAGGUAAACUCCUUCUAAGGCUAAAUACGGCCACGAGACCGAUAGCGAACAAGUACCGCGAGGGAAAGUUGAAAAGAACUUUGAAGAGAGAGUUCAAGAGUGCGUGAAACCGUUUGGAGGGUAAAACGGGUGGGCGCUCGAAGAUCGAACGAUCCUUACUCCCGCCAUCUGCACGCCAGUCUCUUGUAGAUCCUAACGUGUGCCCACGUCUUCACGGAUGUGAGUUUGCCACGGGUCUUGCAGGAGUUCACUGGCGGCCGUGCAGGGGCCGCAAGUUUGGGAUCUAGUAGGACUCCGCAACCGUCUGGAUAGACGUCAAACGGAACCUUCUUGAGUAUUCCACGGCUUGUCGUUCCGUUUCGGCGGUUAACUUCAAGCGGGGAGUGUUCCUGACGUUCUAGUCCGGACGUUAUCACCUGUUCGGAGAUGUGGAAAACCUUUUCCACGUCCCA
rnacentral:rRNA from 1 species